GACGAACGCUGGCGGCGUGCUUAACACAUGCAAGUCGAACGGAGUGGCGAACGGGUGAGUAUUACGUGAGUAACCUGCCCUCAACUGUGGGAUAAGCCUGGGAAACUGGGUCUAAUACUGCAUAGUUGGGGAUGGGCUCGCGGCCUAUCAGCUUGUUGGUGGGGUGAUGGCCUACCAAGGCGGUGACGGGUAGACGGCCUGAGCGGGUGAACGGCCACAGUGGGAGUGCGAGACGGCCCAGGGUGCUACGGGAGGGAGAAGUGGGGGAAAUUGCACAAUGGGCGAAAGACGAAUGCAGCGACGGUGAGUGGGGGAUGAAGGCGUUCGGGUUGUAAAGUUCUUUCGGUAGCGAACGGGUAGGUGGAGAAGAAGCGCCGGCUAACUACGUGCCAGCAGCCGCGGUAAUAC
rnacentral:rRNA from 1 species